CAGUCGCCGCGGUAAUACGAAGGGUGCAAGCGUUAAUCGGAAUUACUGGGCGUAAAGCGUGCGUAGGCGGUGAGUUAAGUCUGUUGUGAAAUCCCCGGGCUCAACCUGGGAAUGGCAAUGGAUACUGGCAAGCUAGAGUGUGUCAGAGGAUGGUGGAAUUCCCGGUGUAGCGGUGAAAUGCGUAGAGAUCGGGAGGAACAUCAGUGGCGAAGGCGGCCAUCUGGGACAACACUGACGCUGAGGCACGAAAGCGUGGGGAGCAAACAGGAUUAGAUACCCCUGUAGUCCCUGUCUCUUAUAC
rnacentral:rRNA from 1 species